AGAGUUUGAUCCUGGCUCAGGAUGAACGCUAGCUACAGGCUUAACACAUGCAAGUCGAGGGGCAGCAUGAAAGGAACUUCGGUUCUUUUUGAUGGCGACCGGCGCACGGGUGCGUAACGCGUAUCGAACCUGCCUCAUACUCGGGGAUAGCCUUGCGAAAGUAAGAUUAAUACCCGGCGGUCUCGGAUGGCCGCAUGACUGUCCGAGUGAAGAUUUAUCGGUAUGAGAUGGCGAUGCGUCCCAUUAGCUAGUUGGUGAGGUAACGGCUCACCAAGGCAUCGAUGGGUAGGGGUUCUGAGAGGAAGGUCCCCCACAUUGGAACUGAGACACGGUCCAAACUCCUACGGGAGGCAGCAGUGAGGAAUAUUGGUCAAUGGACGAAAGUCUGAACCAGCCAAGUAGCGUGCAGGAUGACGGCCCUCUGGGUUGUAAACUGCUUUUAGUUGGGAAUAAAAAGAGGGACGUGUCCCUUAUUGUAUGUACCAUCAGAAAAAGGACCGGCUAAUUCCGUGCCAGCAGCCGCGGUAAUACGGAAGGUCCAGGCGUUAUCCGGAUUUAUUGGGUUUAAAGGGAGCGCAGGCGGCGGCGUAAGUCAGUUGUGAAAUCGUGCGGCUUAACCGUGCAAUUGCAGUUGAUACUGCGUCGCUUGAGUGCACACAGGGAUGUUGGAAUUCAUGGUGUAGCGGUGAAAUGCUUAGAUAUCAUGAAGAACUCCGAUCGCGAAGGCAUAUGUCCGGAGUGCAACUGACGCUGAGGCUCGAAAGUGUGGGUAUCAAACAGGAUUAGAUACCCUGGUAGUCCACACAGUAAACGAUGAAUACUCGCGGUUGGUUCGUUAGAGUCAGCCGCCAAGCGAAAGCGUUAAGUAUUCCACCUGGGGAGUACGCCGGCAACGGUGAAAC
rnacentral:rRNA from 1 species